rnacentral:rRNA from 1 species
ACCCGACUGCUAUCGGAUUGAGAUUUAGCCAUGCGAGUCGAACGUCCCCUGUUGCGGGGGGCGUGGCGUACGGCUCAGUAACACGUAGUCAACCUGCCCUGGAGACAAGGACAACCCCGGGAAACUGGGAUUAAUCCUUGAUAGGUCAUCUCAUCUGGAAGGAGAGAUGGCUUAAAGGGGUACGCGGGCUUCUUCCGCGCAUUCGCUCCAGGAUGGGACUGCGUCCGAUCAGGCUGUUGGCGGGGUAAUGGCCCACCAAACCUGUAACCGGUACGGGCCUUGAGAGAGGUGGCCCGGAGAUGGACACUGAGAGAAGGGUCCAGGUCCUACGGGGCGCAGCAGGCGCGAAACCUUCGCAAUGCGCGAAAGCGUGACGAGGUUAAUCCGAGUGACUUCCGCUGAGGAGGUCUUUUGUCAGCUGUAAAUAGGCAGGCGAAUAAGGGGAGGGCAAGCCUGGUGUCAGCCGCCGCGGUAAUACCAGCUCCUCGAGUGGUCGGGGCGAUUAUUGGGCCUAAAGCAUCCGUAGCCGGUUCCGUAGGUCCUCUGUUAAAUCCAACAGCUCAACUGUUGACCUGCAGAGGAUACCGCGGGACUAGGAGGCGGGAGAGGCGGACGGUACUCCGCGUGUAGGGGUAAAAUCCUUUGAUCCGCGGAAGACCACCAGUGGCGAAGGCGGUCCGCCAGAGCGCGCUCGACGGUGAGGGAUGAAAGCUGGGGGAGCGAACCGGAUUAGAUACCCGGGUAGUCCCAGCCGUAAACGAUGCUAGCUAGAUGAUUCAUUCGCAAGUCGCGAAUGAAGUGUCGCAGGGAAGCCGUUAAGCUAGCCGCCUGGGGAGUACGGUCGCAAGACUGAAACUUAA